rnacentral:rRNA from 1 species
GGGUGAGUAACGCGUGGGUAACCUGCCGUAUACAGGGGGAUAACACUUAGAAAUAGGUGCUAAAACCGCAUAAGCGCACAGGAUCGCAUGGUCUGGUGUGAAAAACUCCGGUGAUAUACGAUGGACCCGCGUCUGAUUAGCUUGUUGGCGGGGUAGAGGCCCACCAAGGCGACGAUCAGUAGCCGGCCUGAGAGGGUGAACGGCCACAUUGGGACUGAGACACGGCCCAAACUCCUACGGGAGGCAGCAGUGGGGAAUAUUGCACAAUGGGGGAAACCCUGAUGCAGCGACGCCGCGUGAGUGAAGAAGUAUUUCGGUAUGUAAAGCUCUAUCAGCAGGAAAGAAAAUGACGGUACCUGACUAAGAAGCCCCGGCUAACUACGUGCCAGCAGCCGCGGUAAUACGUAGGGGGCAAGCGUUAUCCGGAUUUACUGGGUGUAAAGGGAGCGUAGACGGUGAAGCAAGUCUGAAGUGAAAGGCGGGGGCUCAACCCCCGGACUGCUUUGGAAACUGUUUGACUGGAGUGCAGGAGAGGUAAGUGGAAUUCCUAGUGUAGCGGUGAAAUGCGUAGAUAUUAGGAGGAACACCAGUGACGAAGGCGGCUUACUGGACUGUAACUGACGUUGAGGCUCGAAAGCGUGGGGAGCAAACAGGAUUAGAUACCCUGGUAGUCCACGCGGUAA